rnacentral:rRNA from 1 species
CUGCAGCUUGCUGCGGGUACUCGAGUGGCGAACGGGUGAGUAACACGUGGGUGAUCUGCCUUGCACUUCGGGAUAAGCUUGGGAAACUGGGUCUAAUACCGGAUAGGACAGCUGUUUAGUGUCAGUUGUGGAAAGUUUUUUCGGUGCAAGAUGAGCUCGCGGCCUAUCAGCUUGUUGGUGGGGUAAUGGCCUACCAAGGCGUCGACGGGUAGCCGGCCUGAGAGGGUGUACGGCCACAUUGGGACUGAGAUACGGCCCAGACUCCUACGGGAGGCAGCAGUGGGGAAUAUUGCACAAUGGGCGGAAGCCUGAUGCAGCGACGCCGCGUGGGGGAUGAAGGCCUUCGGGUUGUAAACUCCUUUCGACAGGGACGAAGCGUAAGUGACGGUACCUGUAUAAGAAGCACCGGCUAACUACGUGCCAGCAGCCGCGGUAAUACGUAGGGUGCGAGCGUUGUCCGGAAUUACUGGGCGUAAAGAGCUCGUAGGUGGUUUGUCGCGUCGUCUGUGAAAUUCCGGGGCUUAACUCCGGGCGUGCAGGCGAUACGGGCUGACUUGAGUGCUGUAGGGGAGACUGGAAUUCCUGGUGUAGCGGUGAAAUGCGCAGAUAUCAGGAGGAACACCGAUGGCGAAGGCAGGUCUCUGGGCAGUAACUGACGCUGAGGAGCGAAAGCAUGGGUAGCGAACAGGAUUAGAUACCCUGGUAGUCCAUGCCGUAAACGGUGGGCGCUAGGUGUAGGGGGCUUCCACGUCUUCUGUGCCGUAGCUAACGCAUUAAGCGCCCCGCCUGGGGAGUACGCCGCAAGGC